GACUACGUGGCGCAAUGGUAGAGCGUCUGACUCCAGAUCAGAAGGUUGCGUGUUCAAAUCAAGUCGGGGUAG
rnacentral:tRNA from 1 species